rnacentral:rRNA from 1 species
CCUACGGGGGGCUGCAGUGGGGAAUAUUGGACAAUGGGCGAAAGCCUGAUCCAGCCAUGCCGCGUGUGUGAAGAAGGCCUUCGGGUUGUAAGGCACUUUCAGUGGGGAAGAAAGCCUUGGGGCUAAUACCCUCGAGGAAGGACAUCACCCACAGAAGAAGCACCGGCUAACUCCGUGCCAGCAGCCGCGGUAAUACGGAGGGUGCGAGCGUUAAUCGGAAUUACUGGGCGUAAAGCGCGCGUAGGCGGUCUGAUAAGCCGGUUGUGAAAGCCCCGGGCUCGACCUGGGAACGGCAUCCGGAACUGUCAGGCUAGAGUGCAGGAGAGGAAGGUAGAAUUCCCGGUGUAGCGGUGAAAUGCGUAGAGAUCGGGAGGAAUACCAGUGGCGAAGGCGGCCUUCUGGACUGACACUGACGCUGAGGUGCGAAAGCGUGGGUAGCAAACAGGAUUAGAUACCCCUGUAGUC